GGGGGUAUAGCUCAGCUGGGAGAGCAGCAGACUGAAGUGCCAAGCCCAGACUGUGAAGCAUUCUUCUGAAGGUCCCGCGUUCGAUCCGCGGUACCCCCA